UCCGUAGGUGAACCUGCGGAGGGGACAUU
rnacentral:rRNA from 1 species